UAUUAUUUUAUGUGUAAAUUUAGUGAGACUUGAGUAGUAAUAGCUUAGAUCUUGAAACUCAAAGAAUUUGGCGGUUUUUUAGUCUUUUUAGAGGAAUCUGUCCUGUAAUCGAUAAUACACGAUUUGUUGUACUUAGCUUUGUUUUCAAUUUGUAUACCGCCGUUAUGAGAAUAUCCUUUUUAUUGUGAGGGUUAUAAAUUUUCUUUGUUUUAAAUUAAAAAAUAUAUCAGGUCAAGGUGCAGUUUAUGGUUAAGUAGAGAUGGAUUACAAUAGUGUUAACUAUAUGGAUUAAUAUAUUUAAUUUUAUUAUGAAGGUGGAUUUAAUUGUAAGUUUAUUUAGAAUUUUAAACUGAUUAUGGCUCUAGAAUAUGCACACAUCGCCCGUCGCUCUCGUUUUUAAAAUGAG
rnacentral:rRNA from 1 species